rnacentral:rRNA from 1 species
AGUCGAACGGUAGCACAGGGGAGCUUGCUCCCCGGGUGACGAGUGGCGGACGGGUGAGUAAUGUCUGGGGAUCUGCCCGAUGGAGGGGGAUAACUACUGGAAACGGUAGCUAAUACCGUAUAACCUCGAAAGAGCAAAGUGGGGGACCUUCGGGCCUCACACCAUCGGAUGAACCCAGAUGGGAUUAGCUAGUAGGUGGGGUAACGGCUCACCUAGGCGACGACCCCUAGCUGGUCUGAGAGGAUGACCAGCCACACUGGAACUGAGACACGGUCCAGACUCCUACGGGAGGCAGCAGUGGGGAAUAUUGCACAAUGGGCGCAAGCCUGAUGCAGCCAUGCCGCGUGUAUGAAGAAGGCCUUCGGGUUGUAAAGUACUUUCAGCGGGGAGGAAGGGAUGAAGGUUAAUAACCUUCGUCAUUGACGUUACCCGCAGAAGGAGCACCGGCUAACUCCGUGCCAGCAGCCGCGGUAAUACGGAGGGUGCAAGCGUUAAUCGGAAUUACUGGGCGUAAAGCGCACGCAGGCGGUUUGUUAAGUCAGAUGUGAAAUCCCCGGGCUCAACCUGGGAACUGCAUUUGAAACUGGCAAGCUUGAGUCUCGUAGAGGGGGGUAGAAUUCCAGGUGUAGCGGUGAAAUGCGUAGAGAUCUGGAGGAAUACCGGUGGCGAAGCGGCCCCCUGGACGAAGACUGACGCUCAG